UGCCUCUGGACCAGCUGGUAGAGCAUGAGACUCUUAAUCUCAGGAUUGUGAGUUCAAGCCCUACACUGGGCAA